GGCCCUGUAGCUCAGCUGGAUAGAGCAACGGCCUUCUAAGCCGUGUGUCGAGCGUUCGAGUCGCCCCAGGGUCACCA
rnacentral:tRNA from 1 species